UGUAUCCGAGGCAGAGGAAGAUGAUGUUGAAGGGGAUUCCUGACGAGAUUACCCGAGCACUUGAGCAAUGAAAAGCAGAUCAUUCAGCUGCGUCUCAAGAACCCAACAACAGUCAAACUGGGGCAUUGCAAAUGCAAAAAAAAAAGAAGAGGGAAAAAAGAAUGAAAAAUCAAAAAAUCAGGAAAAAAAUUUCAAAGUCUUUUUUUUCAAAAGAAAAAA
rnacentral:lncRNA from 1 species